GGAGACCUGGGAUCGAGUCCCACGUCGGGCUCCCUGCAUGGAGCCCGCUUCUCUCUCUACCUCUCUCUACCUCUCUCCCUCUCUCUCUGAAUGAAUAAAUAAAUAUAUAAAUCUUAAAAAAAAAAAAAAGACACAUGGGAGUGGACCUCAGAAUAAAGAUCUGUUCUAGAACAAGAACCUUCGGGGUCAUCAGCAAAUAGACAACGAAGGUAAAGCCAUAGAGGUGAAUGCUACCAAGUGGGGGUAGGGAGGCAGUUAGAAGAAAGUGGGAUCCUGCCCUAAGUAAUACAACAAGAGUCAGAGAGGUAAGAGGAAUGGUUUGGCAAGUGUGGUGAGUCAUGACUCAAAGAAAAGAAGAAUUUUCCAGAAAGGGAAAGUGGUCAACUUUCCACAUCAGUUAAGCCAUGAGCAGUACAUCAACUCAGGAAUGGGAAGCGCUCUUGAUCACAGGAGUGAAGCGGAGAGCUUUCUGGAGUAUUACUGAAGGCAGGAGCCAGGUUGGAAGAGCCCCCAGCUCAUCUCUUUGCCUAAUGACUGAGUCAGAGAAUGUAUCGUUGGCAACGUCUAGGGACAUUUCCACUAUGAUUUUUGCAAGAAAUUGAAUAAUCUAAGACUUCCCAUUCGACUCCCUUCCGCUCUAUCCAAUGAAACUGCCACAUAGAAGCAUCACAUAGAAUCUCCAGGUCAGAAUGGCUAGGAUUAGAAGACAGCGAGGUAAAUAUCUAUUUACUCCUGUAUUUAUGUAUUCACGAAUCACUCUUAGCAGCCAGGCCACACUUAAUGGCAGGCCAUGAGAGGCAUUUCUGCUUCAAUCAGAAAUCAAGUAGCUUUUAUCUGAUAAGUAGUUGGACGGAUCUGGUGGUGUGAUGCAGGACUGGGCCAAAAAAAGUUAAAGCCACAACAUUCCAACGUGGAUUAUUAUGUGCUAUCCCGCUGUCUCACUGCCUCAGUUCAAAAGAUUUAUAGGCUAAUUGUACCAGGUGCAUAGGAAGUUGUCAUGUGGAAGAGGGAUUUUCUUCACGGUCGAGCGUGAUCACGAUUAUCUGAGGCUGUUCUACAAUUUCUUUUACAUUAGCAACAACUCUUCCCACCACAUGUUGAACACCUGGUGUGCUGUGCACUGCUCGGGGAGCUUUAAAUUUACCACCUCAUUUAACCCCUCGCCGCGUCUGGGAGAGGCAGGAGCUAACAUGUCCGGUUUAAAGAUGAG
rnacentral:lncRNA from 12 species